UACCAGCACCCCGAGUGGUCGGGACGUUUAUUGGGCCUAAAGCAUCCGUAGCCGGUUCUGCAAGUCUUCCGUUAAAUCCACCUGCUUAACAGAUGGGCUGCGGAAGAUACUAUAGAGCUAGGAGGCGGGAGAGGCAAGCGGUACUCGAUGGGUAGGGGUAAAAUCCGUUGAUCCAUUGAAGACCACCAGUGGCGAAGGCGGCUUGCCAGAACGCGCUCGACGGUGAGGGAUGAAAGCUGGGG
rnacentral:rRNA from 1 species